rnacentral:rRNA from 1 species
AGCCACUGCUAUCGGGCUCCGACUAAGCCAUGCGAGUCAAGGGGCCCUUCGGGGCACCGGCGCACGGCUCAGUAACACGUGGCCAACCUACCCUCGGGUGGGGGAUAACCUCGGGAAACUGAGGCUAAUCCCCCAUAGGGGAUGGGAUCUGGAAGGCCCUGUCCCCGAAAGCUCCGGCGCCCGAGGAUGGGGCUGCGGCCCAUCAGGUAGUAGGUGGGGUAAAGGCCCACCUAGCCUGCGACGGGUACGGGCCCUGUGAGGGGGAGCCCGGAGAUGGACCCUGAGACACGGGUCCAGGCCCUACGGGGCGCAGCAGGCGCGAAAAUUGAGCAGUGCGCGAAAGCGCGACUCAGGGAGCCCGAGUGCCCCUCGCUAUGCGGGGGGCUUUUCCCGAGCCUAAAAAGCUCGGGGAAUAAGGGCUGGGCAAGACGGGUGCCAGCCGCCGCGGUAAUACCCGCAGCUCAAGUGGUGGCCGCUAUUAUUGAGCCUAAAGCGUCCGUAGCCGGACCCGUAAAUCCCCGGGUAAAUCGGGUCGCUCAACGAUCCGGCUCUCGGGGAGACUGCGGGUCUUGGGACCGGGAGAGGCCGGAGGUACUCCCGGGGUAGGGGCAAAAUCCUAUAAUCCCGGGGGGACCACCAGUGGCGAAGGCGUCCGGCUGGAACGGCUCCGACGGUGAGGGACGAAGGCCAGGGGAGCAAACCGGAUUAGAUACCCGGGUAGUCCUGGCUGUAAACGCUGCCCGCCUGGUGUUGGGGCCCUUACGGGGGGUCCCAGUGCCGGACCGAAGGGG